rnacentral:rRNA from 1 species
GAUGAACGCUGGCGGCGUGCCUAAUACAUGCAAGUCGAACGGAGAAUAUAGCAAUAUGUUCUUAGUGGCGAACGGGUGAGUAACGCGUUGGUGACCUGCCCCGAAGCGGGGGAUAACAGUCCGAAAGGAUUGCUAAUACCCCAUGUGAUCACCGGGAUUAGAAUCCGGUGAUUAAAGGAGAAAUUCACUUUGGGAGGGACCUGCGUCCCAUCAGCUUGUUGGUAAGGUAACGGCUUACCAAGGCAAUGACGGGUAGGGGACCUGAGAGGGUGGACCCCCACAAUGGCACUGAAACACGGGCCAUACACCUACGGGUGGCAGCAGUAGGGAAUAUUGGUUAAUCUACGAAAGUGGGAACCAGCAACGCCGCGUGUGCGAUGAAGGCCUUCGGGUCGUAAAGCACUUUUUACAGGGACGAGGAAGGACGGUACCUGUAGAAUAAGCCUCGGCUAACUACGUGCCAGCAGCCGCGGUAACACGUAAGACGCGAGCGUUAUCCGAUUUACUGGCGU